rnacentral:misc_RNA from 1 species
AAACCCUCAAGCUCCGCUUGGUGUUGGGUGUCUGUCCUGCCCCCCGGGGCCGGGACUCGCCUUGAAAUCAUUGGCGGCUAGUACAUUGGCUUCGAGCGCAAGCAGAAACGCGAACCUCGGGUCCCGGUGUAUUGGCUCCCAUAAGCUACCCCUUCUA